AGUUUUAUAGUUUAAAUUAAAACAUUAAAUUGCAAAUUUAAAAAUAGAAAUGAAUUCUUAAAACUU
rnacentral:tRNA from 1 species